rnacentral:rRNA from 1 species
GACGAACCGUGCGAACGUUGUUCGGAAUCACUGGGCUUAAAGGGCGCGUAGGCGGCCGGGUUGGUCGUGGGUGAAAUCCCCCAGCUUAACUGGGGAACUGCGUGUGAUACUGGAUGGCUUGAAUUCGGGAGAGGGAUGCAGAAUUCCAGGUGUAGCGGUGAAAUGCGUAGAUAUCUGGAGGAAUACCGGUGGCGAAGGCGGCAUCCUGGACCGACAUUGACGCUGAGGAGCGAAAGCUAGGGGAGCAAACAGG